UAAAAGGUUCUUUUAAGAACUAUUUCAAUAUUACACUUACUAAUUAU
rfam:Capsicum annuum cultivar Zunla-1 chromosome 12, whole genome shotgun sequence